GGGGCUGAUCCUUCUGCGUAACACUUGCCGAAGCCUUAGCAGCCCGAAAGGGUGCACCCCUACGACUAUAAACAUCACGAGGGUUGCUUAAUUGCUAGUCCGCCGCGAGGCGGGCGACACUAUCAAAUUGCGGGAACGCCCUAAAGACCUCAACACCAAGCGUCCGCCGGAAACGGCGGCGUGGCCGAGCUAACAGCCCUGGGUAUGGUAACAGCUUGAGGUAUGAAGCCGCUCCGGCGGUGGAAAUGGGUAAUCUGCAGCCAAGUCCUAAGGCACCCGCCGCCGCGCGGUUGCUACGGAUGCUGUUCACAGGCCAAAUGGUAGUGGGUGGCCCCCCCGGUUGCGGGGUGGCUGCUUAAGAUAUGGUCGGGCCCCUUUAGAAAUUUAGGGGGGAAGCUUACGCUUGACAAACCGUUCCGUAGGUGAACCUGCGGAAGGAUCAUUA
rnacentral:rRNA from 1 species